UGCCAGGUAACAACACCAACACUGCAGAGCCGUGCCAGGUGAUAACACCAACACUGCAGGGGCUGGAGGCAGCCCUGUGCAGCUGCAGCAAGCUCCAGAGUGCAGGAUCCUCCCAGGGGCACAGCACCAUGGCAGCAGUGCCAGGACUGGCACAGGACAGGGUCCUGAGCCUGGAACCUGCGGCCAGCGGCACCCAGGGGGCCACAGCCACCACCCAGGGGUCACUGCACUGCCCAGGGGCUCAUGGCCACCACCCAGGGGUUCAUGGCCACCACCAAGGGGUCACUGUGGCACCCAGGGGUCACUGUACGUGCCCUGCAGAACAGGCAGAGCGUGGGCAGAGCCUUGCAGCCCCCCCAGAAGCCUGGGCUCCUUCCCAGGCGUGGCUGUAAAUGCAAUGAGCAGGCUGCAGCCUCUGGAACCACCAAGGACAGGUGAGAGCAGCACUGUGAGGCAGCUGGGGAGAAGGCUCGGUGCUCAGGCUGAGCCCGAGUGCAUCUGCUGCCCAGUCAGAGGAAGGUGCUCCCUCCUCCUGCCUGGCACCACCAGAGGCACAACUACACAGAGGAGGCGACUUCUGAGCGAGAGCCAAGGGCAAGGGCACAAAGGAAGAUCUGCUGGCAAACCUCUGCGGUUAUUUAUUUGUUCAAGGGCCGAAAGAACACUCAUUUCCAGCUCAGAUGGGCAAACAGGGCAGAGCUGAGCAGUACCACGGCACAGAGGGAUCAUCAAAGCUCUGCUCCUCUGAUCUAUGAUAAACUCAGCCAUUAGAAA